rnacentral:sRNA from 1 species
UCGAUUUGUUGCGGGCAAAUAAAGUGAAUAUGGGCAUCGAUGCCACCCGCCGUCAGGAUCGAACCUUCACCGGCAAUCACUUCCGUACCCGGGCCAACAAUAAUAUCCACUCCGGCUUGCACAUCCGGGUUACCGGCUUUGCCGACUUUUACAAUACGACCGUUCUUGAUGCCGACGUCACCUUUAACCACACCCCAGUGAUCCAGUACCAGCGCGUUGGUGAUCACCAGAUCCAUCGCCGGUUCACCGUCGGCUGGAUUAUUCAGCACCUGGCUCUGACCCAUGCCAUCACG